rnacentral:misc_RNA from 1 species
CCUACAGCGAGACGCGCGUUUUCGUACACCGCCCUCAGCUUAAAUGUGAAGUCACGAGAUAACAAUCAUAAUUUUAAUAAUUUUCCUAUUCAUUUAGAAAAUGUCUUCAAAUUGAUAAGUUAAUAUUAAAAAAUCUAUAAAUCAUAUAUUUAUUUUAAAAUUUUUAAAGCUUUUAUCUAUAUAAAUGAAAAAGGAAAGCCUCAAGGAAGUAUCACAAUGCAGACUCUACCACCUGAGGUUUUCCUUGGACUGCUGGAAUAUUUGCCCUACAGAGAUAGAAAAUCAUUAAGCGAAACUUCAGCAUAUUUCAAUCAGCUUUGUUUGGAUCACAAAUAUUUAGAUAAAGAACAAAUCGUAUUCGAAGGAUGUGUACUAUCACCAGAAACCUCUCCAUUAGAUAUUUUACUAAAAAGUGAGCGAACAUUUUCAAAUAUUAAAUGUACCAAUCUUGAAAUAUUUAAUAUAUCUGACAUUUUUUGGAGGAGAUUCGGACCAUACAUCAAAACACUUCACUUGAAAAGCUGCUCCAUUGCGUUGAACUAUGUUUCAUGUUUCUUCUCUUAUUUGGAAAACUUGGAAUAUUUGGAAUUAGACGAAUGCAGGGAUUUAUUCAUGAGUGGGACUAUGUUUUCAAAACCCGAUGAUCUUCUCAAAGUCGGAGAUGCUCUAAAAAAUGUGAAAGAGUUGGUGGUGAACGAGCAAAAUUACUUGAGCGAUGCACUAUUCAAUCGGCUUGUGACAUGUAUGCCUAAUUUAAAUAAUUUAUCUCUUCAUGGUUGUUAUAUAAAUUGCCAUGAAGCUGUAUAUAAGAGAUACUAUAGGAAAGACAAUGUGGAAUUGGGAUCUGACAGUGUGUUGACGUUCAGAUUCAUCUUAUCAUAUCUGCAAAAAGCUUCCAGGUUUUUAAAAAAACUUGAUUUCAGUUGGACAAAAUUGGACAAUUCUUGCUUGAAGAAAAUUGCUUUACUAGAUGGUUUGAAUUUGACUGAAAUAUGUUUGCAUGGCUGCUCUCAGUUGACUAAUGAGAGCUUGAUACACUUAGUGAACUGUCAAAAGAAUUUAUUGGUAAUUGAUAUUGGCAGUUGUGUUUGCUUGACUGAUAAGGCAUUGAUUGCCAUAAGUGAUGGUCUUCCAACAUUGAAAGAGCUCAAUAUCUCAGGCUGCUCAGGGAUUACCUACUUGGGACUUGAAUCUCUGGCUAAGCUAACCUAUCUUAACAAGCUGACCGUUAUAUAUUCGGGAUCUCCUUAUAAGAAAGAAAUGCUUCCAUUAUCAAACAAGAAUAUCAAAUUUCUUGAUUUGAGAUCAUCAAAUUUUAACGACUUAGCACUGAUUACUCUGAUUAGUGAUUUAUCCAAUCUUGUCUAUCUUGAUCUUGGUCAUUGUACAAAUAGCGUCUCAAAUUUAUCACUGCAUGCUAUAUUCAGAAACUGUCAACGUCUGCAGCAUUUGAAAGUGCGAGCUUGUCCGAGAAUAACCAACUAUGGCUUGUGUGGAAGUGCUGCAAUUCAUCCUGAUCUUGAAAAAAUUGAGAAUGAACAAGCUCAAGCUCUCAGUACUUUAGAUGAUGGACAGUUUAGAGAUGUAGCUAUCGAUACUCGAAGCUGUCGUUCAUUGCUUGAACUGAAAGAUCACUGAUGACGGAUUAAGAGUUCUUUCGGAGAACAACCCAAGCAUUGAAGAGCUUAACCUUAGUGGAUGUCACACUAUAACUGAUGAAGGACUCAAAUCAUUACAGAACUUACACAGAUUGAGACGCCUUUCCUUAAAAAAUAUUAAGCAGAUAACAGCUGAUGGAGUACUAACUAUGAGGAGGAACUGCAAAUCAUUACAGUAUUUGGAUGCUUCACAGUGUGACUUGAAUUUGGGAGUAAUGGAUUUGGGAAGCUCAACAUCUUCAAACCCUGAGGGAUUUCUAUAUUUUCAGCCUCUAGGCACAUUCUCAAAUUCAUGCCCUCGAUGGCAGAACGACACCCUCAUUCAUCAAUCCGAUUCACCAUCAUCAAUGGAAUC